rnacentral:snRNA from 1 species
CAGCAUUACAGCUCUUGUGGAAUUAGUCCAGCAGAUUUCUUAGUUUUCACUGGAAAACCUUA